GCCCAAUUGGGCAGAGGGAUCCUCCUCCUGUCGUCACUGGUCAGACAGAUGUGUUCCCCAGUGACAUAAUGCCAGCAAGCAAUGGAAUAAUGCACUCACCAUUGAGUGUGCCUUUCUGCUGCUCAUAGGCUGCAUCUUAACCCACAGAAGGCUCGCAGCACAGAAAAUGCUGUCCCACCUUAAGCUUUCUAUCAUUUACACAUAGGCACAUGCUUGCUUACACAAAAAAGCAAUAAGGGACAAACCAGUAGUAAUAAAAAUAACAAUCCUUUCAAGUCUUUCUCCUGCAGCUACACUACUGCACAGUGAACAAUCUGAAUAAGACACAUACCAGAAGAGAGAAUACCUUAAAGCAGGUUUUACCUAACUGCUAGCAUUACUUGGUGCUGCUCAUGGCAGAUCAAACUGUCCAGUAAAUCUCCAAACAAUACAUAAUUUACAGUCUCUAUGUAGAAUUACUGUAAAAUGCUUCAAUGUUUUGAAAUCAAGCAUGAAGCUACAGGUUGCAAAUGCAUGGGACAGAGCAGUAAGCUAUAGAUGUUGACAAGAGAGUUAGUACAGCACUCCUUAGUCCUUGCCAUAUGCACUACUAGAGAGAUACAGCAAAGGGCAAAGAGCCCUUCUAAUGGCACAACAAAUGGCACAAACAAUUUUAAGCUUGUGAUGCUGGGAAGUUAAGUCAGACAGGAGUCACUGAGCUGAUGUGGUGGCUUUAGGAAAUCACCACUCAGAUUAAAACUUAACAGACCAAUUCAGAUGACUUGGAAGUAAGAUAAAGCUCUGUUUUACAGCAAAGCUAAAUUUACAAGCAUAUACACCAAGUGCAUUUACAUGUAUUCACAGUUAAAUACAAUUUGGAAAUAACACAGAAAUCAAAUCUACACCCCCUCAGAAAAAGAAAGUGGCCAACACCACCACCUUCUUUCUCCCCACCUAGAAAACCAGCAAGGCUCACAUAUUAUCUGGUCAAUUAAAGUCAGCCUUCAGUAUGGAGGAGUCAGAGCAGCGAAGGAACAGAGAACAGUCAGUGCCCAAAAGCCAAGAGAACAAAAUGGUUUCUAUAUUGGCUUUUUAUCCCUCUUAGCAAACCAAUCAAUGAUAUAGACCUUAUCAUUAUUAUUCUUUUUCAAUCAAUGCUCUAAUUUAUUUAUAUUCUGCACUGAAUUUUCAAGAAAUUAUCAAUUUCUCUGAUUGGAACUUUCUAGUAUGCCUUAAACUACUACAGCUGAUCACUUAAACUGGAUCUGUCCUCCUAGAACUAAUUUUAAGAGAGUAAGAAGCUGUUUUAAAGCACAAAUGUCUAUUUAAAAAACAAAAAAGACUAUGUACAUGCUACAACACAAGUGGAUAUAACAAAAAGAGGAAAUAGGGUUUUAUUUUAUCAAUUUAUUUAAGCAAGUAUCUACAUCUAGCUCUUCUCUGGGGCUGAACCAGAGCAGUUCCUCUAUCAUCUGGUAGGUGAAUCAGAAAAACAACAGCCACAGGAUAAAAUAAGAACAGAUUUAACGAAGUAGCCAAAUUAAUACCAAAGUCAGUACAAGAAAUAUAAAGUCAUAGUCAAUCCUACAAAAGUUCAGCAGUCACAAUACCUUGAACAGUCUUCAAAAGUGGAAGAAUGGAGGUCUGAAGAGACAAAGAGACUAAGCUCCAGCAGAAGACUUCUCUCUCUUCAGCAAACUUUCUCCUUUUCACUGGGUGUGCUGCUCAUUAUAUGAGAUACACCUGUGAGCCAACUCAAGACAGCUGUCCUGGUUGAUUCAGAACUGCUAAUUGCUUAUAGUCUACAGCUGGCCUGAAAUUCUGGCCAAGAAACAAACAAGAUAGAAAGCAAGCAAAUAAGGCAAAGUUGUGGCAAAAGACACAGCAUAAUUCUUAAACUUAAGAAAAUUGUUCUGCAGCAAUCUUCCAAAUCUGGUCUGUGAAAUGGACUACAGGAUCAGAGAUAUUUUUUCCUUAAUACUCCAGCAGAUGUGAUUUAUAGUAUGCCUUCUUAGCCAGCACACCUGAAAAACUACUCAACAACUACUUAACUUCAAACCCAAAUU